ACGAAGCCACGCCCACUUCCCUUCCCUGCUCAUAUCCAGCUCUAUGGUGAAGGACUGAAGACUUUUCUGAUGUUUUCUCUCAGUUUCAGCUGUAAAUAACAGUGACCAUGACGGAGAAAGCAGAAGAAUCUCCUCUGCUGAGUGCAGAGACGAGUGAAGCCGAACUUUACACGUCCGUCACGUCAGAACAUGUCCCCUCUGCUCCACCAUAUCAGGCAGAGGCUCCUCCUCCAUACUGGGCAGUGCCCGUUGUUGGCUCCGCCUCCCUGUGCUGUGGUGUGUGUGGAGCUGAGCUGGACUCUAACAGCAACCAGUAUAUAGUGAAGUGUGGAGUUUGUCAGGAGGCCACGCCCUUGAGGAGUCCCCCUGUAGGAAAGAGGUUUGUUCGCUGUCCAUGUCAUUGUCUACUGAUAUGUAAAAUCUCCUCCCAGCGAGUGGCGUGUCCUCGUCCUCAGUGUAAGAGAGUGAUGGAGCUGACGGAUCCGAGCAGUGCUGUGGUGCAGUGUUAUGGGACACGAGCCAUCUGUGGCCACUGCAGACAAACCUUUCUGGCCCCUCGAUCAGGAGGAAAGCAGCGUGUUCGAUGUCCUCACUGCCGUGAAGUGAGCUUUAUUGGACAGCACUAUCCCAUGAAGCGCUGCAUUUACUCCUCACUGUUGGCCAUCUUCUUCGCCGUCAUCGCUGGAGGACUAAUCGCUGCCACAGUGGAUGAGGCGAGGGAUUACAACGCCAUCUACGCUGUCUGGACUUUUUUGCUGAUGUUGUGUAGCUUCGCAGCAUAUUUCUCCUCAAGAAGAGUCGCAAAGAAUCAACACAUCUUCUGAGGUUACUUUGCAGAAAUGGCUGAAUUUGGAGAGAUCGUUGAUGCAGUUGAAGAAGCGAUAGAAGGAGCAGAGGAAGGUAUUGAGGAACUAUCUGAAGAAGCACAAGAAGCACUAAGAAGUGAAAUCGCUGAAACCCGCACUGUGAUCGAAGAGCUUUCUACAACCCAGAGUAAGCUCCAAGAGUUCCUUUCAGCCAUCAAAGAUUGUGUUUCUACAGUGGCCAAGUUCACUGCCAAAAAUAUAGUGAUUGGCGCCAUCCUGUGGGGGGUAAAUGUCGCUUUAAACAAGCUUCUUCCACACGGUCAAUCAGAAACCCACAAGCGCAUGAGUAAUGUAAUAAAGGCCUUGAGUGAUGUGAUCAGUACUGAAACCAAGAUAAACCAGAAGGCACUGGACUGGAUGAAGAUCCACAAGGAUGACACCAUCUGUCUGGAAGGAUUUGAACUGCCAAUGGAAGCCAUUCUCUCUAAAUACCUCACACCUAUAGAACAGGCCACUGAAGAUGCCGAAACCAUCGCUAAGUCUCUUCAAGAACAU